CUCCUGAAUGUCUCAUUCUCAAACUAAUUUUGCUUGAAAUUAUGGCUGGAGAUGGUAUAUUUGAAACUUAAUAUGAUGAAUACAGAACAGAUUUCAACACCUUUUGAUGUUCACAUAAACCUGAAGUGAAUAUAGCCAAAGAGGACGUGGCCUUUCAGCACCUCCAGCUAAAAAAUGCUGCAGAGGAACUUCCUGUAUUAAGUAGAGACGGGGUUUCACCGUGUUCUCCAGGAUGGUCUCGAUCUCCUGACCUCGUGAUCUGCCCGCCUCGGCCUCCCAAAGUGCUGGGCGUGAGCUACCGCGCCUGGCCUUUGUCAUCAUUUCAGAUAGGGUGAAGGAAUGGUUUAAGUUGCCUCCAAGGUAUCUUGUUGGGGGUGAGGGGUACAGAGGGGUCUUACUGAAUGGUGAUGAAAAAGGGGAUACAAGCAAAAGAUCAACAUUGGAGAAAAGAUAACUAAACCCUGGGAAGCUUAAGGAACAAAAUGUAACAAAACAACAGGGAUUGUUUUAUAAAAUACUUUGAGAUAUCCAGGAUUAAAAGUAUGAUAAAAAAUAA